CACGUGCCCAAACAAUCGCGCUCAUGAAAAGUACGAAAUCUAUAUUUUACACUCUCCUUAAAGAGUAUUUCAUAGGAUUUUUUUUUUCUGACCGAUAUAUAUGACAUGAAUAUUUAUUUCACUCGUAUAUUGUCCGCUCGUUUUUUCACAUGCUGCAUUCGUAUUCAGUUUUAUGGACACACGGACGCACGGUGUAGUUCAACUUGUUGUUACGAAAAGCAAAAAACAAGGGAUCCGAGAUUUGGGAUUUGUUUAAAGAAAAUAUCUCUUAUUACUAAUUAUUGGAUUUUACGGCGUCCCGAAGAUUUCGGCCGCUUCUGUUACAUAAAUCCC